rnacentral:lncRNA from 1 species
GAACAUGGUGAUUUCUCCCCAUUUGAUGGGCCCUUUUAGACAGCCAGCUCAUGCCUUUUCUCCUGGUAAGGGUCUGAAGGUGAUGUUUACUUAGAUGAUGAUGAAGUCUGGACAAAUGAUUACUUUAAUGUGUUUGCUGUGGCUUCACAUGAAUUUGGCCAUGCCUUGGGCCUCCAUCACUCCAAUGCCCCUGAGGCUCUGAUGUACCCCAUUCUACAACCACCCUAGCAAGAGAAAAUGAUGCUCUCUGAGGAUGAUGUCAAAGGCAUCUAGAUUCUCUAUGCUUUGCUCACAUUCCAGAAAAAUGUGAUCCAGACUUUAUACUUGAUACCAUCACACAGUUACGAGGGGAAAAGUUGUCUUUAGGACACA